rnacentral:rRNA from 1 species
GGAAACAGAUGCUAAUACCGGAUAACAACAGAUGAUGCCUAUCAACUGUUUAAAAGAUGGUUCUGCUAUCACUCUUGGAUGGACCUGCGGGUGCAUUAGCUAGUUGGUAGGGUAACGGCCUACCAAGGCGAUGAUGCAUAGCCGAGUUGAGAGACUGAUCGGCCACAUUGGGACUGAGACACGGCCCAAACUCCUACGGGAGGCAGCAGUU